UCCAACUCCGAGGUUCAAGCAAGCUUUCCACAUUUCGCGGUGCUUUCUCCAUUCCCGCCCCUAUUCCGUUUACGUCCUCUGAUUUUGGCGGCGUUUCUUGUGCCGUGCUCCCAUGGAACCAGAAGGUUCUCCUGGAAACUCUGGUGAAAAUCCUUGAAUUAUUUACAAAUUUCUGAUAGGUAUUUCUACCAUAUGACAUCGAGGUGGUUUGAUGAAAUUUACAGACUUGCAACUUGAAGAUUUGGCGGGAAUCUUAACAAAAUCUAUGGUAUUGCUGGUGGUAUAAAGUUGAUGUUGAGUAUGGUUUCUGAAAUAACAAUUACAUAAUCAAGGAAUGGUAUAAGAGGAUUUAACACCCAAUUUUCUAGAGAUCCAGAUGCACAACUGCAUGGCUUCGCAUUGCUCAACAUGGGCUAGAGAGCUGUCUGCGAUCAGACGUUGGCCAGAACCUGUUUUCUGGACGGCUGGCCUCUAUUACAAUACAGUACAGUACAGUACAGCGAAGCCUGGCUAUGCAUGAAAUGCCUGCAAGGGACAAAAAGCAUGAGAAACAGUUACGACUUUCAAAAGGAUUGAAGAAAAGUCUGGAAACGGAAGCAGAGGAGGGUUAAAAGGUGUACGGAAGAGUUUUUGGUAGCAUCAUAAUCCCACUUUCGACAAUGACAAUAUAAGCAUGUUUGAGAAAGUCGAGAAUCUAAAGACUAUAAUUGACUCGAGAACA